rnacentral:lncRNA from 1 species
CCUCCACCACCUCCCCCAUGUGUACCACCCCCACCAUAUCCACCAGCAUCUCCUCCAGCUCCGCCUCCUUGACCAUCACCUUCGCCACCUCCAUAUCCACCUUCAUGUCCUCCAGCACCACCACCAGCACCUCCUCCACCGCCACCUCCACUUCCUCCGCCGCCUCCUCCAGCAUGUGCACCACCUCCAGCAUAAGCGCCGCCAG